AAUUACUGUAUCUUGUGUUCAUGAGGAAAGACAGUUUGAAAACACAAAGACUGUCUCUCUGCUGAAACUAAAAGGCUUUUCUCAAGAUGAUCGAUCCACUCAAACUGAAAAACUUAGUUUUUAGUGUUGGAGGUGGCACAGCAGUGAAAACAGCAAAUGCAGUGAUUCCAUCUAAUGAAGUUGUGACGCCGAUAAUAAUCACAUUGCUCUUCCUUGGAUACUACAUGUUCACCAAAGAUAUGUCUUCAGAAGAUGUCACCAAGGUAGUGAUUGGAAUGAUGGCACUGAAUGUCACUGAUAUGCUCAAAAUGGAACCUAAGUUGGCGUGUGGAUUCAAUGCUUUUGUCAUACUCAUACUUGCGAUUCUAUCUUUGAAUAUUAACCAGGAAGCAGUUAAGAAGAAAGAAACAGAUUAACCAGAUAAAACCCAUAUAAGUGUUACAAUUAAUAACACUGUACACUGUACCUACACUGUAAAAAAAACCACACUGAAUGGAACGCUUAGGAUGUGAUGAAAAAAAUAAAAUGAAUGCAUAGGUUU